rnacentral:lncRNA from 1 species
AGCGCUGGUCACCUCUGGAACCUGAUUGGUCACCUCAGGCGCCACCCCAGUUGAUUGGCAGGUCACUGUACCUCUCGUUGAAAGAAGCGCAUUAGGGAAAGACAAACGAGGGAGGUAGAAUAAUGGUGUUUCAAAACACGAAUGGACCCAGAGGACCUACUUUAAAUACAUCAUUCAGAAGUGGCCCAGAUGUGGUGGAGGCGUGGUCUGAGAAUCUCGUCUUGAGAAGAGUCCUCGGCACUGUCUGCUACAUUCCAAUCACCUGCUCAUCGAUCCAAGAGAGAAGAUGAUCUGCAGGAUCCUGCUGCUCAUCAGCCUCAACUGUCUUUGAACAUUUGUAGUGAAUUUGACACAGACCUCCAUCAGGCAGCCGAGAACCACAACAUCACAGUGGAAUGGGCGUUCACAACCACAGCUGACACUUCCCCCGACUCCCUUUUUAUCUUCUGUGAGCUGAUAACUGAUCACAAAGUCUCAGUCCUGUUUCAUUUACAUGGAGCUGUUGAGGUCCCAGAGACUCACGAUCAACAUUUUGUAGGACCAGUCCAGUGGGACAAAGAUGUCGUCAGAGACGGACAGCUCAGACUUCAUGUAUCCAGACUCAGGACUGAGGACUCGGGCCGGCAUCGCUGUAAAGUGUGGAAGAAUCUUUUUUUUUUAUUCACUGUCUUUCUGAAACAACAUUUAUGCUCAGACUCCAGUGAAGGAUCUGAGGAAAUGUAAGUCUCUGCAGGCUCAGGAAACAGUUUGAUCGACAAAACUUAAGGAAACAGUUUUAUACGAUGGACAGAUCUGAACAGAGCAGCAGGCUUUGAGACAAUCAGGGAACCAAGGAGGAGAAGGGACUCAAGCUCUGUUUUAACAGUCCAUAAAGGAAAUGGACAAAUGGGACUCGGGCUGAUAAAACAACGUUAAAUCACGCACUAUUGUGCAAUUUGCAAUAGAAGAAUGGGCCCAAAUCCCUCAGGAGUCCUGUGCCAACCUUGUAAAGAACUAUUCUAAGAGGUUGUUGUCAGUUGUGGCUCAGAGAGGGUACACUGUUGACUACUAAUGGCCAGCAGGGUAAUAAUAUUGGAUGUGUCAUUUUUGCCCUUUUUUUGUUUCACAUCAGUGUAUCAAUAAAAUAUUACAAUCAAACUUAGUGGACAUUUUGUCUUCGUUGUUUUGGAAACACA